CGUGCACGAACGCUACUGCCGACUCAGUCUGCCUGGGCAUCCACAGCCACUUACAGCAAACCAGCUGGAAAUCCAGGCUCAGGGUGCAAAAGUCUCAAGGUGAAGAUAGGCCAUGCUUCCACAAGGUGGACUGACAGGCUCAGUUCUCUGCAAGGGUAACAUACUUACAAGGAACAUGGAAUUCACUGCCUAUUCUGUUAGCAUCCUCAGCUCCCUGCCUGUACCACAAGUACGCAGGCAGCAGACACCCUCUACCUCUCCCUCCCUCCCUUCUCCCUGCCUCCCUCUCCUCCCUUCCCUCCCAUCUCUGCACAGAGCUGCCUGGUAGGAAUUUUGAAGGAUCCUCCCUGGCUCUGGGAGGGAGAGCAUAGGAGGUUAACGUGUAGGAAGGGAAGGGAUGCUGCUUAGGACAAAAAGGCAAAUUAUUGUCGAAAAUCAAAUCAUGCAGCAUUUUCUCUGGAAGAUGUCAAUAAGGAAAAAAAAAAAGAAGAGGAUGAAGGGAAUCUGCCCAGCCUUGUUAUGUGAGUGGCUCAAACAGCUUCCCAGAGUCAAAGAUUUAAUAAAAUCAUGACAUCUUUCUUCACAAGCACUGCCAAGUUUGUAUCGUCUCAUGGAGUCCGCAACUCCAACUAAAAAUGAUUGCCGAUUUAUUCACAAUAUGUUUCUGGAUCCUUUGCUGAUGUUUUUCCCUUCACUCACCAGCUACAAUGACUCCAAAAAUUCUUUGACAUUAACUAGAUGGUGUAAAAUGCAGGAGAAAAAAGCCAAAUUUGUAAAUGAGAAACUGGGUGAAACUAAGGGCCUUGAAGUGUCCCUGUGUACAGGGAGGCUGUGGCCCCUAGAUGCUUUGUACUUUUAACAGUAUUUAUCUGAUCGUCACAGUAUUUAUCUGAUCUGGCACAGAGGAAGUUCUAAAAAUGUUCACUGGGUGGAGAAGAGGAUGGCCUCCCAUUGUUUCUCCUGAGGGGACCCGGGGACCUUGCAGCUUGCCUCCAUGUUGUGAGCCUGGAUUCGGACACAUUGCCCUCUGGAGAUGCUGAGUAACCUUGUCAUCAGGUACCUGGAGACUCACAGUGAGGUGGCAGAGCUGUGGCCUUGCAUAGAGCUGCAAGCAAAUUCCAGAUACUGAGGGCUUCAUAACAUUGCUCGAAUAUUAGUAUUUAAAAAUAGUUACAGUGAUUUAAGAAACAUAUCUCCACUACUGAUUGAAGAACCGAACCCUAACUGAACCUGCAGGUAGACUUCUGCAUGAAUUCAGCUGGCAUGUGAGAGAGUCCUACUUCGUACCUCUGCCUUCUUCUGAGGACUUUGCAAUCUAGUCACUGAAGGCGGGGCCACAGAGCCACAAGAUGACACUGGGAAAGUGAAACAUGGAUCAAAUGAGAGUGGACAUGAGUUGUUUGUGUCCAUGGGCUCAAGAGUGAAGCAGGGCUCUGGCCAGAUGUGGAAGGUCCAUUCUUGGAACAGUCCAUUGAGGGGUGGAUGGAGCGGGAGCCAAUAGCCUGGCAUUACCUGUGGCUCUUGGAGUCAAAUGCACCCUGUGGGAGGUGAACUCCCUAUACUUCAAGACUGUGUUAUCUGCACCUCAAGCACCCAUGAGAGGUGUUUUAUUGAGCCCAGAAGUACAGGGAAAAAUCCACAGACUUUGAGAGUCAAUCAGAGAGGACCAGAGAGAGCAUGGAGUCUUGAGUCUCCUCCCUUGUGUGUGUGCUGGAAACCACUCCAACACCUGACUGUGGCCUGGCGGAGUUGGGGACAGCUGGCAGUGCUGGACUGAAUGACAAUGACAGCAGCUGGUAUCUCAAAAAACCAAGGAUUCCCAGGGUACAUGGGACUGGGUAUAUCUGAGAAGUAAAUAAAUUGAGUCUUCUCAAAGUA